UGCCAUUUGUGCGGUAGCAAUCGUAAGCAAAGAACAUCUCGAUAGUUGGUGAAGAUUACAAUCCCCCACAUGCUUUCAUAUCAGUAAUUUUCCUCAUAAGCUUUCUUAGAGAAAUACCUGGCAGAGUUCUUCUGCGAUAAACAUGAAUAAAUACCUCAACCUGCUUUGUCUGUCCUAACUGCUUGCAUUUGGGUGUGUUCGCAGCCGCUUUGGCCAUGCCAACUGACCGAGAACCGGCACUUGAAACCCGGCAUCGACUUGUCCGACGUGCCCGGCAGUAUGGCUGGCUGCCGAAUUGGAAUCCGUGCAAGUAUUACUGCGACUGUGUCAAGCAAAACAAAUCUGGUUUCUGUGGCUACGGGAGUGGUGGCUGUACCUGUUAGGGAAGGACUGUGCCAAAAACGUUGGCACACUAAUUACUGUGCGCCAAACCCAAAUACUGUGGCAAUAAAGUUGCAAGAUCGCAUAUGGAAAUAAAUGGUUUGUUU